rnacentral:lncRNA from 1 species
AUGGGAAUUUCUUCUCUUUUCACUCAUAUAAAUUUGCUUAUUCUUCACAUUCUCCAUUAUGAAAAUAAAACCUUGGGCAGUAGAGCACCAAUUCAGGGAAUUGGAAGGAAGGGUAGAGCCCGUGUCUCACAGAUUACACAGAAUGGAAUAUUGAAAGAACUGACUUUGGUUUCCAGUUCAACAUGCAAAAAUUUAGAAGUUGUCACUCUCAUCCUUACAACAAGAAAAAAGCUGAAUAACACCAAUUCAUAUAAAAACUAUCAGAAAACUAGGAAUAGACUAUGUUAUGCUAUAUGUUAGCUAAUUAAAAUUUAAAUAAAAAUUGAAAAAAGAGAAAACUAAGAAUGGAG